GUUCUUGUAGUUGAGAUUGUCAACAGUGGUUUUUCAGAUCACAAGCCUUGGAGAAAAGCCAAGCAAGAAUU
rnacentral:tRNA from 1 species